rnacentral:lncRNA from 1 species
UGGCUCAACUAUAUCCAAGUUAUGCUGAGGGAGCAACCCCCUUUUUCACCUUGAAUUGGUCAAAUUAUUCGGGAUUUCUUACUUUUCGUGGAUGAUUAGAUCCAGUAACCGGGGGUCUAUGGCUAACCGAUAUUGCACACCAUCAUUUAGCUAUUGCAAUUCUUUUCCUUAUCGCAGGUCAUAUGUAUAGGACUAACUGGGGCAUUGGUCACGGUAUAAAAGAUAUUUUAGAGUCUCAUAAAGGGCCCUUUACAGGCCAGGGUCAUAAAGGCCUAUAUGAGAUCCUAACAACGUCAUGGCAUGCUCAAUUAUCUCUUAACCUAGCUAUGUUAGGUUCUUUAACCAAUGUUGUAGCUCAGCCAUGCUCAAUUAUCUCUUAACCUAGCUAUGUUAGGUUCUUUAACCAUUGUUGUAGCUCACCAUAUGUACUCCAUGCCCCCCUAUCCAUAUCUAGCUACUGACUAUGGUACACAACUGUCAUUGUUCACACAUCACAUGUGGAUUGGUGGAUUUCUGAUAGUUGGUGUUGAUGUGCAUGCAACCAUUUUUAUGGUAAGAGACUAUGAUCCAACUACUCGGUAUAACGAUCUAUUAGACCGUGUCCUUAGGCAUCGCGAUGCAAUCAUAUCACAUCUCAACUGGGUAUGUAUAUUUUUAGGCUUUCACAGUUUUGGGUUAUAUAUUCAUAAUGAUACCAUGAGCGCCUUAGGGCGACCUCAAGAUAUGUUUUCAGAUACUGCUAUACAAUUACAACCUGUCUUUGCUCAAUGGAUACAAAACACCCAUGCUUUAGCACCUAGCGCAACCAUGCUUUAGCACCUAGCACGACGGCUCCUGGUGCAACUACAAGCACCAGUUUGACUUUGGGGGUGGUGAUUUGGUGGUGGUUGGGGGGAAGGUUGCUUUUUUACCUAUUCCACUUGGAACCACAGAUUUUUUGGUCCAUCACAUUCAUGCAUUUACGAUUCAUGUGACGGUAUUGAUACUCCUAAAGGGAGUUAUAUUUGCCUGCAACUCUCGUUUGAUACCGGAUAAAGCAAAUAUGGGUUUUCACUUCCCUUGUGAUGGACCUGGAAGAGGGGGGACAUGCUAAGUAUUCACUUGGGAUCAAGUGUUCUUAGGAUUAUUUUGGAUGUACAAUUCAAUUUCGGUCGUCAUUUUCCAUUUCAGUUGGAAAAUGUAGUCAGAUGUUUGGGGUAGUAUAAGUGAUCAAGGGGUGGUAACUCAUAUCAUGGGCGGAAACUUUGCAUAGAGUUCCAUUACUAUUAAUGGAUGGAUUCACGAUUUCUUAUGGGCACAAGCAUCUCAAGUAAUUUAGUCGUAUGGUUCAUCAUUAUCGGCAUAUGGCCUCUUCUUCCUAGGUGCUCAUUUUGUAUGGGCUUUUAGUUUAAUCUUUUUAUUCAGCGGUCGUGGUUAUUGGUAAGAACUUAUUGAAUGAAUCGUUUGGGCUCAUAAUAAAUUUAAAGUUGCUACUGCUACUCAGCCUAGAGCCUUGAGCAUUAUACAAGGACGUGCUGUAGGAGUAACCCAUUACCUUCUGGGCGGAAUUGCCACAACAUGGGCAUUCUUCUUAGCAAGAAUUAUUGCAGUAGGAUAAUGGCUAGGAGGAUUUGAAAGGAAUUAUGGCAUUAAGAUUUCCAAGGCUUAGCUCAGGACCUCACUACUCACCGUAUUUGGUUUGGUAUUGCUACCUCGCAUGACUUCGAGAGUCAUGAUGAUAUUACGGAGGAACGUCUUUAUCAGAAUAUUUUUGCUUCUCACUUCGGGCAAUUAGCAAUAAUUUUUCUCUGGACUUCCGGGAAUCUGUUUCAUGUAGCUUGGCAAGGAAAUUUUGAAGCAUGGGUACAGGACCCCUUACAUGUAAGACCUAUUGCUCAUGCAAUUUGGGAUCCCCAUUUUGGCCAACCGGCUGUGGAAGCUUUUACUCGAGGGGGGGCUCUUGGCCCAGUGAAUAUCGCUUAUUCGGGUGUUUAUCAGUGGUGGUAUACAAUUGGUUUACGUACUAAUGAUGAUCUUUAUAGUGGGGCUCUUUUUCUAUUAUUUCUUUCCACCAUAUCCCUACUAGCGGGCUGGUUACACCUACAACCUAAAUGGAAAACGAGUGUUUCAUGGUUCAAAAAUGUUGAAUCUCGUCUCAAUCACCAUUUGUCAGGAUUAGUCGGAGUAAGUUCCUUAGCUUGGACAAGGCAUUUAGUCCAUGUCGCUAUUCCUG